AUUGAACGCUGGCGGCAGGCCUAACACAUGCAAGUCGAACGGCAGCACAGAAGAGCUUGCUCUUUGGGUGGCGAGUGGCGGACGGGUGAGUAACACGUAGGAAUCUACCCAGUAGUGGGGGAUAACCUGGGGAAACCCAGGCUAAUACCGCAUACGCCCUGAGGGGGAAAGCGGGGGAUCUUCGGACCUCGCGCUAUUGGAUGAGCCUGCGUCGGAUUAGCUAGUUGGUGGGGUAAGGGCUCACCAAGGCGACGAUCCGUAGCUGGUCUGAGAGGAUGACCAGUCACACCGGAACUGAGACACGGUCCGGACUCCUACGGGAGGCAGCAGUGGGGAAUAUUGGACAAUGGGCGCAAGCCUGAUCCAGCCAUGCCGCGUGGGUGAAGAAGGCCUCGGUUGUAAGCCUUAGUGGGAGGAAGGCGAUCAUGCUAUACCACUGAAUGAUUGACGUUACCUACCACGAAUAAGACACCGGCGUAACUCCGUCGCCAGCAGCCGU
rnacentral:rRNA from 1 species